rnacentral:sRNA from 1 species
GUGCAUGAGGGAUAGUAGCGGCAUCCUUUUGCAUACAUUUACUUUUUACAAAAAGUAAAUGUAUGCAAAAGAUAGAGCGGAUAGCCCGACCCGCA